UACGUAGGGUGCAAGCGUUAAUCGGAAUUACUGGGCGUAAAGCGUGCGCAGGCGGUUGUGUAAGACAGGCGUGAAAUCCCCGGGCUCAACCUGGGAAUGGCGCUUGUGACUGCACAGCUCGAGUGCGGCAGAGGGGGAUGGAAUUCCGCGUGUAGCAGUGAAAUGCGUAGAUAUGCGGAGGAACACCAAUGGCGAAGGCAAUCCCCUGGGCCUGCACUGACGCUCAUGCACGAAAGCGUGGGGAGCAAACAGG
rnacentral:rRNA from 1 species